GUCAGUCUGCAGCUGAGCCCACAGUCCCCGACACCGAGCUGAACACUCCUGCCCGAGUCUGAAACACAGACAGAGAGAGAAGGAGAAAGGGAGAGAGAACGGGAUAGGCUGAAUGAAUGGAAUCAAGCAGUUGCUGACCAGAAGCAACGGAGGACACCUGUAUAUGCCGAAUGAGUCCAAUCAAUCUAAGGACAUCAUUAAGGUUGCUGGGUCAUUCCGUGGAUGACGUGAGGAGGACGGAGACCCCCCCUCCACCCAGCCCCACCACCUGUGUCUCUAUCUGCCGCUGUGUCCUAUGGCUUUUUAUUCCUAUAUGAUGUCAGAUUGGGCUUAUGUAGGGAUAGAAGCCACUUAACACACGGUGAAAGAGCUUCAUGAAGCAGCACGAGGAGAGAGAAAAAAUGGAAGUGUUCCAGUCCUAGUUGGCCUGCUUUACAAUGUCCCAUAUGCCUGGUACAUAUGGUUUGAUGAAUGUUUCCUGCUUCUGGUUUCAUGCUCCCUGUAGUAAGGCUACAUUUGUGCUCUUCCUUCAGAUAAUGAGUUAGCAGCUCAUUGAAGUGUUCAGAGAAGAGUGAGUCAGAGGCUGUUAUGGUUGUCGGUGCACCUCUUUUUGCUUCCAGGCACAAACGGCCUUCACCGUUUUUCAAUUUAUGAUGCUGUGGUGACAGCGGGGGUCUGCAGGGAUGGAUGUUGGAACAUUUGCAGAAGAUGCCAUAAACAAAAGGAAGAAACAAGCAUGGAGAAACCAAUGCAUAUUUUUAAUAACCAACUUUAAAAGAGGCACUAAGUGAACCACUUUACAAUACAAGAGGCAUUGCAUUUCCAUGUGUUUUCUCUCUCUCUCUCUCUCUCUCUCUCUCUCUCUCUCUCUCUCUCUCUCUCUCUCUCUCUCUCUCUCUCUCUCUCUCUCUCUCUCUCGCUCUCUCUCUCCUCUCUCUCUCUCUCUCUCUCUCUCUCUCUCUCUC
ensembl:lncRNA